rnacentral:rRNA from 1 species
CCCUUAGAUGUUCUGGGCGGCCCGCGCACUACAAUGGCGUGUGCAGCGAGUGCCGAAGUAGAGUUUUCCGAGGUAUUCUUGCAAUGCUCGUUUUGAUGGGGAUAGACCCUUGCAACUGUUGGUUUUGAACGAGGAAUUCCUUGUAAGCAUGGUUUAUCAUCCGACGCUGAAUGCGUCCCUGCCCUUUGUACACACCGCCCGUCGCUCCUACCGAUUGAAUGGUCCGGUGAAAUCUUCGGAUUGAGACUUUGAUUUCUUCACGGAAAACGCUGUUUUAAAAAGUUGAUUAAACCUUACCAUUUAGAGGAAGGUGAAGUCGUAACA